AUUGAACGCUGGCGGCAGGCUUAACACAUGCAAGUCGAGCGUGAAAGGGCUUCGGCCUGAGUAAAGCGGCGGACGGGUGAGUAACGCGUAGGAAUCUACCUGGUAGUGGGGGAUAACGUUCCGAAAGGAACGCUAAUACCGCAUACGUUCUGAGGAAGAAAGCAGGGGACCGCAAGGCCUUGCGCUAUCAGAGGAGCCUGCGUCCGAUUAGCUAGUUGGUGGGGUAAAGGCCUACCAAGGCGACGAUCGGUAACUGGUCUGAGAGGAUGAUCAGUCACACUGGAACUGAGACACGGUCCAGACUCCUACGGGAGGCAGCAGUGGGGAAUAUUGGACAAUGGGGGCAACCCUGAUCCAGCCAUGCCGCGUGUGUGAAGAAGGCCUUCGGGUUGUAAAGCACUUUAAGCUGGGAGGAAGGCUCCAUGGCUAAUAUCCAUGGGGAUUGACGUUACCAGCAGAAUAAGCACCGGCAAACUUCGUGCCAGCCGCCGCCGUAAGAC
rnacentral:rRNA from 1 species